rnacentral:lncRNA from 1 species
UAGUGUCAUAAUACACCAUGAGGUGGUUGGGUCCCAUUUCCAGAACAACCAGAGUGACGUCUGAACAAUGCUCUCUAAACAAGAUCUUCAUGUCUGCUCCCAAAGAGGGUUGCUACAUUCUUAGCUUCCCUCAAUUUAAUUCUUUUAUGAUAAAAAGAAGGGUGAACAGAAAAUGUUCAGAGCAAUCAUCCUCUGAAAAUUCAUAUAAAUGACAGCAGAAAUACAAGAAGGAGAUUGGAUUUCAAUCCUCUUGGAAACAAUUGAUUUGGAAGUGGUCUGUGGUCUAAAGAUUUUGACAAAAUUUUAGGAGCAAGUAAAGAUGAUAUAAAUAUAUAAAGAGACAGAACAGAAGGGAGAUAGCCACAUUUCAGAAAACAUGGAGAAAUUAUACAAGUGAUUCUUCCCAGGAAAUUCUUCAGAAAUGUCCAAAGAAAAAAUUAUGGACUUACAAAUCUGACUGUGCGAUGACUGCAAAAUCCUCCUUUAUCUUCCUCUCCCUGACAUGCAUGCAAACACACACACACACACACACACACACACACACACCCUGAGAUUUGCAUCAUUUGUCUUUAGGCUAAAAUAAGGGAAAACAUUUCAAAAUGAUUUACCGAUUUUUUUAAAUGAUGGGCACAGUAACCAUAAUUAAGUCUUCCGUAUUUGGCAUUGGAAUGAAGGUAACGGGAUCAAACCCUUCUAUUUACUUCUCCUUACUCAUCCAAAGAUGCAGUCAACCA